rnacentral:lncRNA from 1 species
GGGCACACUGGAAGCUCAUUGUUGAUCUUUGCUGUAGGCAGGUUAGGAUGUGGAAGUCUGCAUUGCUAAGCCCUUGCACAUCUCCCACUUCUGCCACUUUGAUCAUCUUUUCCUAAGAGUUUUUGAGAUAAGGAUGGGGCCACAGGAGAAAGAAGCUGACUGAAUUAGACAGAACAGGUCAUCUUGUCCAUAUGACAAUUAAGAUUUUUCUCUGCUGAGGUUUCUCAUUGCUGAACAGUCACAUGAAAUACCUUCAUACCUGUGCCCGUUCAGAGAUCUGUCCAUAUAGACCUAUUCCUCAGACUUCUUUGGCAGCAAUUUUAUAGUCACACUUCUUCCAAGUUUCUGACUAUUGGCCAGUUACCACCUUCAAAUCACUGUAGAUCUGUUUCCCUAGUUAUCUUUUUCUAGACAGAAUGCAUAACCAUGUAUACUGCUCAUAGUUUUGCCUACUGAGAGGAUGUCCUUUCUCAUUAUCCUUCAGGGCCGUAGAUGGAUUUAUUAUUUAUCUAUAGUUAACUAACCACUCUGAGAUUUAGCAGUUUAAAGUAACAGUACCGAAUUUUAUUCACAAAUAUGACUUUGGGGCAAGGCUCAGCAAGGAUGGCACAUUUUUAUGCCAUGUGGGGUUAGCUGGGAAACUUGACUGGGGUCUAAUCGAGGGACUUUCAAUUUGACUUAUUCAGGUGUCUGCCACAUUAGUGCUGGCAUUUGGCUGAGACUUAUCCAAGACUGUGGACCAGUUUCCUCACCAGGGUGGAAAGUCCAUGAGACUGUUGUUUUUUUACCUCGUACUCCAUAGGCCUGUGUGAAUCCACCAUCUGCCUAUACAAAUAGUCUAUGAAAACAACCCGUGAGUGCCACACUUAGAGAAAGAUUAAGGAAAGCAAGAUCAUUUAAAUUCUGUUGCAGUGUGGUGAAAUGUCUUAAAAUACAGAAUGGAGGAAAUGAUCAGACCUUUCAGAGAAACCAAAAUCUUCAACAGAAGAAAACUGAAUGGAAUUUCAAGGAAGUUUUAAACACAUAGAAGGCACAUUGGGG